UAUUUAAGAACCAUAGGAGGAAAAAGGCUCACGAAACACGAUGUCACAAGAGAAAAAUUAGGUAGUAUUUUAACUGACAAAGUUGCCAUUCAUUACAAUUUCUGCGGAACAAAUAGACAAUUGAAAAAGAAACCGUUCAGUACAUUGCGCAUAUGGGAUUUGAUUCACAAUGAAGUAGUUGAUUCCACUUACCAAACAAAAGAGGCUGAUUACACGUGUAGGACGUGGCUAAAGCAAGCAAAAAAAGGAUCGAAACAACAGCCAAGAAAUUAAAAACCCCUGACAAAGACAAGGAACAUGAAGGCGAACUAACAGAUAAAGGAAACCAACAUGAAGCUCAAGAAAACAAAAAAGCUAGCGAAAAAGAAAACGAAUUUGAUAUAUAAUUGUAUGAUUUAUAUUGCGUUUUUUCUGUAUAUGUAUACGCAUGUACAACUGUACAUCUAUUUUUUUUAGGUAUUUCAGCCAUGUUUAAUGGAUAUGAAACUAUAAUCGAGUAUAGUUUAUUUUUGUUGUGUUCUUCAUUCUUCGUGAUCGUUUUUAGGUAAAGUAAGGAGCGUACACAUAUUAGUGUAAUUUAGAAUGUAAUAUCGACGAUUCUUGUAUUAACAAGUAUUUUUUGUAAUUAAUGUCGCAGGCGGUAUUGGUAAUACAUUGCACAUAAAAUUUA